rnacentral:rRNA from 1 species
UACGAAGGGGGCUAGCGUUGCUCGGAAUCACUGGGCGUAAAGGGCGCGUAGGCGGCCUUCUAAGUCGAACGUGAAAUCCCCGGGCUCAACCCGGGAACUGCGUCCGAUACUGGAAGGCUUGAAUCCGGGAGAGGGAUGCGGAAUUCCAGGUGUAGCGGUGAAAUGCGUAGAUAUCUGGAGGAACACCGGUGGCGAAGGCGGCAUCCUGGA